GACAGUCAUGGAAAAUGAUGGAUCUGGAGAAAACACAGAUGAGCUGCUCUCUGCAGAUGUGGAUGAUGGUGUUGAUGUUUAUGGCCUCAUACCUCUGGCAUUGUCUUAUGAUUGCUGUGAUGUGCUUCUGGACACCAUUGACAGUCAGCUAAGUCACCUACAGAUCCACAAGCAAACACAAGCCUAUG